CUCAUAGUAAUGAAUGAGACAGGACGAGACAGAUAGGCAGCGUUUCUCAGCCAGUCCAAGUGAAUCAUUUGUAUGGAUUUAUACAAAAAAGAAACAUUGCUCGGAUAUUGUCCCCUGGACCUUGGAGGACUUUUGGUGUGGAUGAUGUUCAGGGCCGACCAAAGCAAGGUUUCUCAAACAACUGUGGGGUGUUUGUUUUGAUGACGAUACUGAAAACAAAAUGCAGGGCGAACUGGGAGCUGUGCACUGGG